CAUGUNUUUUUGAAAAUAAUAAAAAGUCUAAUCUGCCCACUGAAUUUAUUUAAAGGGCUGCAGUAUAUUGACUGUACAAAGGUAGCAUAAUCAAUAGUCUUUUAAUUGAAGACUUGUAUGAAUGAUUUGAUGAAAUAUGAACUGUCUCUUUUUUAAAAAUAAAAUUUAAUUUUUUAGUUAAAAAGCUAAAAUAAUUAUAAAAGACGAGAAGACCCUAUAGAGUUUUAUAGUUAUUUAAUUUAAAAAUUUUAUAUAUAAUUUAAAUUUAAAAUUAAUUAAUUAUUUUAUUGGGGUGAUAGAAAAAUUAAAAAAACUUUUUUUAAAAAUUUAACAUUAAUUUAUGAAAUUAUGAUCCAUAAUUUAUGAUUAAAAGAAUCAAUUACCUUAGGGAUAACAGCGUAAUUUUUUUUUUUAGUACAAAUAAGAAAAAGAGUUUGCGACCUCGAUGUUGGAUUAAGAUAAAAUUUAAAUGCAAAAGUUUAAAAUUUUUGAUCUGUUCGAUCAUUAAAAUCUUACAUGAUCUGA
rnacentral:rRNA from 1 species